GGGGGUGUUUGGAUGUACGUUUCCAAAGUGGUUAUGUAAUACUGAGUGAUCAGGAUAAGAUAGUGUUUGGACUUUGGAUGUGCUUUCAUUGUUUAAGAUUGUGGUAAUGAGUUGUUUGACUCAUCGAGUUUUAUUUGUCAAAUUUUGAUAAUUUGGGAUGCUAACAUAUUAACCAAUAACCGAUUACGUGACCCUAAAUUAUCACAUAAGUACAAAAGAAUUCGUUUAUCCAAACUUAAUUAUUGUGGUUUCAUAUCACAAUAAGCCGUUUCAAAACGCACAUCCAAAGAAUUAAAAGAAAAAAUGAAUCCUAAAGUCUAAACAUCAAGAAAUUAAACCUGUCUUCGUAUUUACUCCAUCGGUGGUGUCUGAUGCUAACUGGCGUUUGUCGACUUUACAUUUGGAUUCCACAUUCUUCUUAUUCUUCCGACCCGUUGUUUUUUUGUUAUUUUCCGGCACGAACACAGGCUGAGUAAUUUCUGGUUGACGCAUUGGAGGUUCCAACAAAUCACUUCGGGAUGCAGAAAUUUGAUAUGCAUCAAGUAGGCCCCACGAGAAAAGAAUUUGGUGAAGCUUCUUGACUGACAAAUUGCUCAAAAUUAGGAAAGCUAGAACACAGUUGAUGUGAUGGAGAUUCCAUAAAAGCACAAGUAGGCGUUAUUGAUUCAGAUGAAUAGUCAGUCAUUGAGACUGAAGUUACCAAAGAAAUGCAUGUUUGAUGACAUCACAACCGCAGAGGUUACUUAGGCAGGAGGAGGAUAGUGAAAUGGGAUAACUCUGGCGGCUACGUUUGUAACGUCAGGGAUUAUUAUUAUUAUUAUGCAGAUUGAUUUGUGGCCGUUGAUGUACAACAUAAUCCGAUGGAAAUGAAGAAAGAUAUCAAUGAUGCAAUGACCAGGAUGUUGCAAAUUUAUGCCAAGCAGAUAGAUGCCAUUAUAAAAAAAAAAAAGGAUGAAACAUGUUUUCCAUGUUGAUUUCUAUAUAAAACUUUAACUAUAUAGAAUUUUAGAUAUAUUCUAAACAACUCAAGCAUGCAGCACAUACUAUUGUGAUAACUGAAUGAUUAACAUUAAUGAUUAAGUAGAAUAUAUAUUGAACCAAUUGGUAAUGACAACGCAUAUGAAUUAAGUG
rnacentral:lncRNA from 1 species